GCCUCCGUAGCAUAGCAGCUAUUGCGGCAGACUUGUAAUCUGCAGGUCGGGGGUGCAAUUCCCCUCGGAGGCU
rnacentral:tRNA from 1 species